AGGUGGCGGACGGGUGAGUAACGCGUAAAGAACUUGCCUUACAGACUGGGACAACAUUUGGAAACGAAUGCUAAUACCGGAUAUUAUGAUUGGGUCGCAUGAUCUGAUUAUGAAAGCUAUAUGCGCUGUGAGAGAGCUUUGCGUCCCAUUAGUUAGUUGGUGAGGUAACGGCUCACCAAGACGAUGAUGGGUAGCCGGCCUGAGAGGGUGAACGGCCACAAGGGGACUGAGACACGGCCCUUACUCCUACGGGAGGCAGCAGUGGGGAAUAUUGGACAAUGGACCAAAAGUCUGAUCCAGCAAUUCUGUGUGCACGAAGAAGUUUUUCGGAAUGUAAAGUGCUUUCAGUUGGGAAGAAGUCAGUGACGGCACCAACAGAAGAAGCGACGGCUAAAUACGUGCCAGCAGCCGCGGUAAUACGUAUGUCGCAAGCGUUAUCCGGAUUUAUUGGGCGUAAAGCGCGUCUAGGCGGCUUAGUAAGUCUGAUGUGAAAAUGCGGGGCUCAACCCCGUAUUGCGUUGGAAACUGCUAAACUAGAGUACUGGAGAGGUAGGCGGAACUACAAGUGUAGAGGUGAAAUUCGUAGAUAUUUGUAGGAAUGCCGAUGGGGAAGCCAGCCUACU
rnacentral:rRNA from 1 species